CCAAACGGACCCAGCACACGUUCAACCGGCGGCACACACUUGUAGCGACUGAUGCUGACGUCCAUUCGGCCAGCCAGCGACGUCUUGGGGUGAUGUCGUGCAUCGUGCAAACACCAAUGCCCCAGCAGUACUGCUUAUGCCGCGCGCCUCCGGCAACCACCCACCCCGGCAUGCCACUUGAGAGUACUUUUGCAACUACAAAAACGCUACGACAACAUCAGUUGAUCGGUCGGUCGCGCGGGGUAUGCUGAAAUAGCUGAAACAUGGAACGCCAAAUGUGAAACGGAAUUUGAAGCGCUUAGCGGCGAUCAUCUGUCUACAUGAGAAAACCACUAAGUUUUGCCGCCUUGGUAGACUACUGGUGAAUUUAAGGGCAUGAGUAGUUCACAUACCGUAUUUUUUUUUCAAUGCGUAAUAGUUUGGAACUGAUGCUAAAAUCGACAGAUGAGAUAGACAUCCCGCUGAAGAUAACUCCGAAAAAGUGUUAAAUUCUACAGGAUAUAGUAUAUAAAACAAAAUUAGAAUUACGAUGGUUGCUACUUGUGUUUUGCGAUAUGGCAAUAGGAGUGUGAGUA